rnacentral:tRNA from 1 species
AGGAGUUGGAGGGCCUCGAUCCCACAUCAUAUUAGUUAACAGCUAGCACGCCUACCACAGGCACCAACCCC